CAAAUACUCCCUCCGUCCCAAAAUUCUUGUCUUUGACUUGUCUACAUACAGAUGUAUUUAUUCACAUUUUAGUGUUAGAUAUAUCCAUAUCUAGAUACAUUUAAGACAAGAAUUUUGGGACGGAGGGAGUAUGAU
rfam:Triticum aestivum genome assembly, contig: Triticum_aestivum_CS42_TGACv1_scaffold_461431_5DS